CAUAGCAGCGCGUGACGUAUUUAAUGUACCGGAAGUUUGGUUUUUGAUCGUGAUUGAAGAAGCUUCACUGAAGAAAAUUACAGCAAAGCUUGAUUUAAUAGGGUACAAACACAACUACAGUACUGAGGGGUAAUUGUUCGUGCAUACCUCGCCGAGAAUGAAGAGAAAAUUUCGCAGUUCAAGAGAUGACUACUUAUCCUGCACCAUAAAAGUACUUUCAUAUAACUCACAGUUGAUGGAUAACAAGGUUAAAGAGUAGUUAUAACCCAAGGAGACGAAUGUUCUAAAAAAUUGAAGCUCAAAAGACGAAUGUUCUAAAAAAUGGCAGCUCAAAAUCAGUUGUAGACGACUCAAAUCAUGUUCAAAAGUACCUAAGGUAGCAGUGUUACAUGAACACCGACUCGACUAGUA